GAGGCGCUGGCUUAGUUGGUUAAAGCGCCUGUCUAGUAAACAGGAGAUCCUGGGUUCAAAUCCCAGCAGUGCCUCU